rnacentral:lncRNA from 1 species
CGGCUUGGUCCUCCUCUAUAUACGACUUAUGAGCCACAUCCAAAGAUACAUCAAAACAAGCUAUGGUUUUGCCUCAUCUCGCAACUUGCAUUGCCACUGUAGUCUACCUCAUCCCGAACGCCUUCGCCCUUGUGAUCCUGCACCAGAAGAGCAUGUCUUAUAGGUAGGAAAGCAUGUCUCUCGAAGCCUCCGCCCUUGUGAUCAGCAUCCGAGACGACGAAUUAGGUUUUUAGAAAGCGUUCCAUACGACUAUUCAAGUUCGUCACCAUGAGCCGUCUUCCAUCCAAGUCGAGCGGCAUUGUGUACCAGCGUCUCCAAUGUAAUUUCGACGAGUCUUCACCAACAUCGUCGUCAACAACAUUGUUCCUCCAAUAAUUAUGGCUACAAACGAACAAUACACGUGUUAGUUAUGGUUGUUGUUACAUGUGCGAUGGUGGAGUACAUGUUAUUCUAUUCAUGUAGUAUGCUGGAUUGUUGCAUGCUAGUAAUAGUUUUAAUCAUGACUUAUGUUCUGAAAUAGAUCACGAAAUUGCCUAAUUCUUGAAUAUAAUUUG